rnacentral:lncRNA from 10 species
CCCUGGAUAAUUUAGGCUGCAACCUCUCCUCCUUCCUCUAGUGACAUUGCAGAGCACCUCUGCGAACUAUGAUGCACACACCUUGUUUUAUGAGAUUUCAGUUCCACAAGGAGAAUAACAGAGAAUGGAGUAGCUGAAUGACUGGACUUGAAUUCAGUGCAGAUUUUGUGACAUUCAGGACAUUUUUUCUCCUUUUUUGUUAGCAGCCCCCAGAGCUAUCUAACCACAGGAGCUUGAAUGACACACCUACCUCUCAAGAUUAUAGAGUCUGCCUCAAAAGCCACCACUAUGCCAGCUUCCUGUGUGGGUCUAUAGACCCCUUGGGAGAUCUACAUGAUAGUGCCUGAACGGAGACUGAGCAUUAGAAUGCAUCUUAAUUUCAAGCACAUCAGCUCCACUGCCAAUAUGGAUUCAGUGAUCCAAAGUGUUUAAAUCCAAGUCUGGGGUGCAAGUUGAUGCUCUUAAGUGGCUGUUGUGGACCUGGGGUUCCUGUGACAGUAAACUUGGGCUUGAGAAAGGAUCCAAAGAGUGCCUGGGCCUCAAGAAGACACUACCAAGGAAUGAAUGGCCCUCACUGAACUCCUGUGACAUAAUAAGAUAUCUUCACCAUUGAAUAAGGGAUUUUCCUUGAAAAUAUUAUGCUAAUUGAAAGAAACCAAAUUGUAGAAGGUCACAUAUUAUAUGAUUUCAUUUAUAUGAAAUGUCCAGAAUAGGCAAAUCUAUAGAGACAGAAAGUAGAUUCAUUCUUAUCAGAGGCUGAGGGGUAAGGUGGGGAAAUGGCUUUGACUGCUAGUGGGUGUAAGGUUUCUUUUGUGGGGAGA